rnacentral:rRNA from 1 species
UGAUGCGAUCAAACCAACACUAAUACACCGGAUCCCAUCAGAACUCCGCAGUCAAGCGUGCUUGGGCGAGAGUAGUACUAGGAUUGGUGACCUCCAGGGAAGUCCUAGUGUUGGAUCCC